GGCCCUCGCUGUGUGGUUGGCCCUGCUGGCCCUAGUAAAUCUUGGCGCCCAGAUGGGUGACAGCCAUCCUGAUGUUGCCAUGCUGUCCCUGGGCUGCAGAUGCAAAGCUGUGCCCUGUAGCUCAUCUCCACUGAGGGCCAUCAUGGAUGAGGGAGAGGAGGGGAGAGCAGUUGCUGCCUGAUGCAGCUGUCUCCUUUUGAAUCAGCCACCCCCAUUUCCCAGGUGCCAGAAUAACUUGCCGGGCUUAGAAUGCUCCCGUCUCUACCUCUCCCGCCCGUUGCAGCAUGGUCACAGCUUUCCAGCCAGUCUUUUGUUGUGGAAGCUCUAAAUCCACGGUAGGGAAAUUACCAAGAGACUCUUCCCCAGUCUGCCCUCCCUCCCCUUGCUCCAUUUCUUUCUUUCCUUCCUUUGUCUCCUUCCAUAGCUAGGGUCAGAAUCCCUAGCCAGACUGAGAACAUGGUUGCUAUUCCAGGACCCAGAUGCCAAUAUGUGGCAGCAUCUGGCUUAUUGGCAAGCGUUGCCCGCAGUUGUGCUGGCUGCUACUAGGCCUGUCAUGUGGCUGAGCCUGCUGACGGGGGCCCUGUCACAAAAUGCAGUUUCUUUGAGAAUCUGGUCUCAACCAAGGAGCCCACCAGCAAACAGUGAGCUGCGAGGAGAGGACAUGCGUUAGUGGGCGGGCGGCUACGGACCGCGCUUUGAUCCCACCCUUGACCUGUUUUGCAGAAUCCCCGUUUCAUGUCCGGGAACCGGCUCCUCGUGUCACUUUACCUUCUUGUGGUGUUGUUGUUUCAGGUGCCUUAAGGCAUGGAGCUCCUUGAAAGAGAAACACAAAUCACUAAAAAUGCUGAGAUAAAAUCCUGCUCCUCAGAGGCGCCUGUUUGGCACAGGGAGCGCAUGAUAACAGCUUGCUUUAGAAAGGUGACAUUUCUGCUGAAGGCUGAAUAAUAAAAAAUGCAUUUAAAAAACUCAGCCCUUGCUUGUCUUCUGAUGGUUGACUUUUGAAGUGAAGGCCACUUCUUCAGUGUGAAGGGUCCUUUUGGAGGCUGGCCCUCAACCAUGGGAACAUUAACUUUUGUCAUCAUUGACGAGGCUGAGGAGCAUUUUAAGUUAAUUGUCACAUAAUAGGGUUUUAACUGCUUUCCUCAAGGUGCAAACACCGGGUGCUCAGAAUGUGUCAAGCUUUCAUUGUCCACAACACGGAAGGGCAGAGACAAGAUGAGGAACAAGGAUGCAGGUCAUUGGUGACCAGAACACAAAUGCUUCCAUUAUUUCAUUCUUCCCCGAAGUCUGUGAUCGACUGGGGCAGGAGAUGCUCUGGGUUUUACAGAUGGAGACGCUAAGGUCCCAAGAAGGUGACCAUGCCAGUUGGCACAGCAAGCUACUAAGCUGGCACUGGGAUGGUGGUGGUUGUGGCUCUACCUCACCGAGCACAGGGUGGACUUGCCGUGCCACGGAAUGAAAGCAAGCCUGGCCCCCUUCUCACUGAUUGAAAGACGGAGCCACUGACAGCCAUCUCCAGCAGCUUCCUUGCUGGCGGGGUAAUAAUGUCCAAUUUUGCACACUUCAGAUCCAUUAGUUGCAAUUACCUUUCCCGAGGUGUUUGGAGUUAGUUUUAACAUAGCAUUCUUACAGUUGGUGGAUAAUGACAGUAAUAAUGUAC
rnacentral:lncRNA from 1 species